CACCCGUAACCAAGGAGGUCCGGGAGAACCAUCUCAUAACCUUAUACUUCCCAUGCAUACCUCUAUGACAACCCGAAAUUCGGACAGCAUCAUGUCGCAUAUAAAAGGAAAUAAUCACCUGUAUAAGCUCGAGCACACAUAUAUAUGUAUAUACAAUACUUGGCCGUUGGAGCCAUCACGUCUAUUAACAAAACACCACCUUGACUGUACAUUAGGUCUACAAAGCCU
rnacentral:lncRNA from 1 species